rnacentral:lncRNA from 1 species
AUACAGUUGGUCACUGUUCCAUACUGGGAGCCACUUCAAGGAUGCAGCCUUGAGAGUAAUACCUUAUUACGACCAUUUGAACUGUGUAUGUGAUUGAACUCCGUUAAGGCCUCUAUAUAAACUUUUAAGAUUCUAGCAGUCGAGUGGGUGGUAAGUUCCUUUCCUCAUUAAACCUGCCACCCACCAAUCUGGAGUGGCCUACCUCUCUUUUCCCGUCUCUCCUUGCCCUAAGUGCACUGGGCCAGUUUCAAAUUUCACCUGGGGGAACUCCAGAGGUUGUGAACAAACAGAAAUAUAAAGAAAGAUCACCAUGGAUAAAGCAUGCUUGGUGGUUUUGGAAUUUAGAGGAAGUAAUGUUAUUGUUUACAACAGUGUUACUCUUCAUUAUGAGAUUUUUUUGAUCAUUAUAGUACUCUGUAAAGUUGCAAGUAAUCGCUAACAAACUCCCUCACUAAGAGAAAUUUAUAUUAAUUAAAAAAAUCUUACAAUAAAUACGCCAAAAUUAAACAAACGAGACGAAUUUAUAUAGUCUGAACACUUUUUAGUUGCCUGUAGAAUUUGGAUCAAGUUCAAUAGACACAGGUAAAUAAACUAGAAGAAAUUGCUUGAAUAAGGUAGAUAGCAUCACUUAGCAGCUGAUUCUUGUUCCGACAAAAUUUAGAGAGUAAGACAACUUUCAAGUAAAAUGGACUUGAUUUUCUUGUUCCCCAAGAGAAAAGAAUCAAGCUACUUAGGUAGGUGGAGUGAGGACUAGAACCCAAGCCUUCUGCCUCCCAGCUGAUAGUUCUCUGAUUUUCCACAGUCCUCGAGCAUUUACACACCAGCUCCAGGCGCUACCUAAGCCAGGUGCUCUCACUUUUCCAGCCCGGAUCUUCACUCACUCCUAAGAUCCUUUAACGAGUGUUCUGAGAGCUGUGCAGUCCUUCGAUUCAUUCAAAGCAUUCUACAGCGAACACUAGGGGGGAAAAGAACAAACAAGAUAAAUUUCAAAUAUAGGAUUCAAUUACUUUUCACAACUCGAUGAUGUGUCAAAGGCACGCUGUGUUUUGUUUUGAGGGCGGGGAGAUGACUGGGAGGGAAUCCUGGGCCCCCAUUGGCUGGCCGCUCUCCGCUGCAGUUGAGCUCCAGCCGCUCGGAGAGGAUUAUUGAUCUGAAGGGUAAACGUGGAGGGAGCCACAGAGAGGGGUCCAAGCGUUUCUGAGAAGAGAGGCAGCCUCUUCCAGGAAGAAAGUGGUGUCUGCUGGCUGCCCAGCUUGGAGAACCUUCUAUGAAUAAACGGGGACAGAAUGCAAGGCAGUUUGUUGCUACAGUGAUUUAGAAGGAAAACAAGAAGGAGAGAAAGAGAAAGGUCUCACCUUCCGUGCGAGCCGGGGUUGUAGCAUCCUGCUGCCGCCGUCUCUGCUUCUGCUCCUGCAGCUGCCGUGUCUGCCACCAGAAAGAUCAGACCUGAGUUAACAUCCACUGCCAAUCCUCCUCUUUUUGCUGGGGAAGAUUGGCCCUGAGCUAACAUCCAUGCCCAUCUUCCUCUAUUUUAUAUGUGGGAUGCCCGCCACAGCAUGACUUGCUAAGUAAUGCCAUGUCCACACCCAGGAUCCGAACCGGCAAACACUGGCAGCUGAAGUGGAGUGUGUGAACUUAACCUAUACACCACUGGGCCGGCCCCAAGAACCACAGCUUUAAAGGAUGCUUUUGGUGAAAAUGAGGCAGUGGAAGAAGAAGAUUAGACACAUCUGGGGAAGAAGGUUAUUGAGAACACUUGAUUACGAAAAAACUUCCCAAUGCUUAGCAACAGCAUCAUUCUAAUAUUUUAAUUGUGUAAUGGCUAAUAAAGAGUGAUAAAUUUGACUAUAGAUAUAAGGCAAGAGAAUUUUUAGUGGCUGCUAUUUUUCUGUUUUAAUUUUUGUCUGUGUCUAUAUUAUUGUAUUUUUCCUAGAGGGAAUUAUUUUUAUGUGUAAAAGGAAGAAGUUAUUUCAAUCCUAAUGGAAAACUUUUAAAUGACCAAAAUUAUACAAAUCAUCAUUCCUAUAUUUGAUUUUUUUCCCAGUGUUAGUUUCCACUUAUCUAAACUCCAAUUACUUGAAUUUUAGAAUUCUCAACUUUAAGAUGAGCAAAGUAUUUUGAAUAGCUACAUCUGUUCAAAUCUCACAGAUGGCCUUUUGUGCUUUUUUCUGAGUUCUUUAUAAUUAUGUGUGACACUGUUCUUCU